GCUUACGGCCAUACCAGCCUGAAUACGCCUGAUGUCAUCUGAUCUCAGAAGCUGAGCAGGCUUGCGUAUUGUUAGUACUUGGAUGAGAGACCGCCUGGGAAUAACCAGUGCUGUAAGGC
ensembl:rRNA 5S_rRNA 5S ribosomal RNA